ACGUGAAUAAGAUCCGUUAUAUCUUAGAUUGCAGUGAUUACAUUUCCACCUUUUUGUACCACUUCCCCGGUCAAAUCCACCAAAGACACUUACAUGUUCCCAUCCCCACUUAUCCGAUUCUGAUGGCAUACUUUCAAGCUCAAGAGCGAGCGGUAAACUUUGCAGAGACGAUUCUUGUUUGAGCAAUCGAAACCUGCGUUUCUUUUUCAAAAG
rnacentral:misc_RNA from 1 species